rnacentral:rRNA from 1 species
UACGGAGGGUGCAAGCGUUAUCCGGAUUCACUGGGUUUAAAGGGUGCGUAGGCGGCCUUCUAAGUCAGACGUGAAAUCCCCCGGCUUAACCAGGGAACUGCGUCUGAUACUGGGAGGCUUGAGUAUGGGAGAGGGAUGUAGAAUUCCAGGUGUAGCGGUGAAAUGCGUAGAUAUCUGGAGGAAUACCGGUGGCGAAGGCGGCAUCCUGGACCAUAACUGACGCUGAGGCGCGAAAGCUAGGGGAGCAAACGGG